ensembl:lncRNA
AUGUCGGAAAUCAUCUUGGAAAACAAACCUAAGCUCAUCAAAUGGCUUAGUUUGGAUUAUAAAUUUGUUUUGCAACAUGUUCAAGCUAAAAAACUUAUAACACAGUCGCACUAUGAUGACUUGAUGGCCAUGAAGGCGAGCGACAGUAUCAUCAAACUUUUGGACAUCAUCCGUAGAAGAGGAGAAAAUGUGUGUCGAGAUUUUCUGGAUUUGCUAAAAGAUGAUGAUGUGAAUGAAAUAUCGCCGGAGCUAAGAGACUGGGUCAAAACAGUUGACUCAGAAGAAACUGCCAACAUGACAGGACAAUCACGCAUCCAAGUAAACAGCCAAAUCUCUGCAUCAGAUGGCAGCAGUGUAAUUUCGCCUACCAUAAUUGGUGGAAAUCUAGGGUCCUUUAUAAUGAAUACGACGGUUGCACCCUCUGGCAGAUCAGAUGUGCAGACAAAUUACCAAGAAACCUGAUAGAGACUGUGAACACAGGCCAGUACAAGAUUAUCAGAAGUUUCUAAAAUAAAACACCAGUCUGCUGGUUCA